rnacentral:rRNA from 1 species
GAUGAACGCUGGCGGCGUGCCUAAUACAUGCAAGUCGAGCGGACGGACGAGACGCUUGUUUCUCUGAUGUUAGCGGCGCACGUGAGUGUAACACGUGGAUAACCUACCUAUCAGACGGGUAUAAUUUCGGGAAACCGGAGCUAAUACCGUAUGAUCUUCUGCACCGCAUGGUUCAAAAGAGAAAGACGGUCUUGCUGUAUCUACUAGAUGGUUAUGAGCUGCAUUAGCUAGUUGGUAAGGUCACGGCUUACCACGGCAACGAUGCAUAGCCGACCUGAGAGGGUGAUCGGCCACACUGGAGCUGAGACGCGGUCCAGACUCCUACGAGAGGCAGCAGUAGGGUAUCGUCCGCAAUGGGCGAAAGCCUGACGGAGCAACGCCGCGUGAGUGAUGAAGGUCUUCGGAGCGUAAAGCUCUGUUAUUAGGGAAGAACAUAUGUGUAAGGAACUGUACACAGCGUGACGGUACCUAAUCAGAAAGCCGCGGCUAACUACGUG